UACGGGGGAGCAAGCGUUGUUCGGAAUUACUGGGCGUAAAGGCUCGUAGGCGCCAACUAAGUCAGACGUGAAAUCCCUCGGCUUAACCGGGAACUGCAUCUGAUACUGGAUGGCUUGAGUUCGGGAGAGGGAUGCGGAAUUCCAGGUGUAGCGGUGAAUGCGUAGAUAUCGUCAAGACACCGAUAGUGAAGACAGCUUACCAGCUCAACUG
rnacentral:rRNA from 1 species